CCUACGGGAGGCAGCAGUGGGGAAUAUUGCACAAUGGGGGAAACCCUGAUGCAGCGACGCCGCGUGAGUGAAGAAGUAUUUCGGUACGUAAAGCUCUAUCAUCAGGGAAGAACAAGACGGUACCUGACUAAGAAUCCCCUGCUAACUACGGGCCAGCAGCCGCGGUAAUACGUAGGGGGCAAGCGUUAUCCGGAUUUACUGGGUGUAAAGGGAGCGGAGACGGUCAGUCAAGUCAGAAGUGAAAGCCCCGGGCUCAACCCGGGGACUGCAUUCGAAACUGCCGGGCUGGAGUGCAGGAGAGGUGAGCGGAAUUCCUAGUGUAGCGGUGAAAUGCGUAGAUAUUAGGAGGAACACCAGUGGCGAAGGCGGCUUACUGGACUGUAACUGACGUUGAGGCUCGAAAGCGUGGGGAGCAAACAGGAUUAGAUACCCCGGUAGUC
rnacentral:rRNA from 1 species